rnacentral:rRNA from 1 species
UACAGAGGGUGCGAGCGUUGUCCGGAAUCACUGGGCGUAAAGGGCGCGUAGGUGGCGCUCCAAGUCUGUGGUGAAAGCUCGAUGCUCAACAUCGAGUCGGCCAUAGUGACUGGAGGGCUCGAGCACUGUAGGGGCAGAUGGAAUUCCGGGUGUAGCGGUGGAAUGCGUAGAGAUCCGGAAGAACACCGGUGGCGAAGGCGGUCUGCUGGGCAGUUGCUGACACUGAGGCGCGACAGCGUGGGGAGCAAACAGG